rnacentral:lncRNA from 1 species
UGGCUCAUGCCUGUAAUCCUAGCACUUUGGGAUGCCUAGGCAUGAAACAGCCCAACGGCACAUUUCUCAGAGGGUAACCUUGUCAUUCAGUGACAUGACUGUACAUUCAUGUGGCUUAUAGCCACAUCCUGCCUGCCUAGGAACAUUUUUUCCUGAGGUGACUUUGCACAGCUAUACACUCCCCAUUUUGUGUUGAUCUUACACCUUUAACUCUGAUGGAGCAGUCUUGGUUCCAGUUCUAGGAGGGACACCUUGAUGCAUCCCACAUAAAUUCAUGGGUCGUACUGGAGGUGUGGAGUCGGGGGCUCAGGGACCAGUUCUCUGUUUCUCUCAG